rnacentral:tRNA from 1 species
GCACGAUAGCUCAGUCGGUUGAGCAGUGGUCUCUUAAUCCGGUGACCCGGGUUCGAAACCAAGUCGAUGCG